UAGGGAAUCUUCGUCAAUGGGGGGAACCCUGACCGAGCAACGCCGCGUGAGUGAAGAAGGUUUUCGGAUCGUAAAGCUCUGUUGUUAAGGAAGAACGAGUGUGAGAAUGGAAAGUUCAUGCUGUGACGGUACUUAACCAGAAAGGGACGGCUAACUACGUGCCAGCAGCCGCGGUAAUACGUAGGUCCCGAGCGUUGUCCGGAUUUAUUGGGCGUAAAGCGAGCGCAGGCGGUUAGAAAAGUCUGAAGUGAAAGGCAGUGGCUCAACCAUUGUAGGCUUUGGAAACUGUUUAACUUGAGUGCAGAAUGGGAGAGUGGAAUUCCGUGUGUGGCGGUGAAAUGCGUAGAUAUAUGGAGGAACACCGGUGGCGAAAGCGGCUCUCUGGUCUGUAACUGACGCUGAGGCUCGAAAGCGUGGGGAGCGAACAGG
rnacentral:rRNA from 1 species